ACGAGUGGCGGACGGGUGAGUAAUGUCUGGGAAACUGCCCGAUGGAGGGGGAUAACUACUGGAAACGGUAGCUAAUACCGCAUAACGUCGCAAGACCAAAGAGGGGACCUUCGGGCCUCUUGCCAUCGGAUGUGCCCAGAUGGGAUUAGCUAGUAGGUGGGGUAACGGCCCACCUAGGCGACGAUCCCUAGCUGGUCUGAGAGGAUGACCAGCCACACUGGAACUGAGACACGGUCCAG
rnacentral:rRNA from 1 species